rnacentral:rRNA from 1 species
UGAGGAAUAUUGGUCAAUGGGCGGAAGCCUGAACCAGCCAUGCCGCGUGCGGGAUGAAGGCCCUACGGGUUGUAAACCGCUUUUCCCCGGGAAGAAUAACCCCGAUGAGUCGGGGGAUGCCGGUACCGGGGGAAUAAGGAUCGGCUAACUCCGUGCCAGCAGCCGCGGUAAUACGGAGGGAGCUAGCGUUGUUCGGAAUUACUGGGCGUAAAGCGCACGUAGGCGGCUACUCAAGUCGGGGGUGAAAGCCCGGGGCUCAACCCCGGGAACUGCCCUCGAAACUAGGUAGCUAGAAUCUUGGAGAGGUCAGUGGAAUUCCGAGUGUAGAGGUGAAAUUCGUAGAUAUUCGGAAGAACACCAGUGGCGAAGGCGACUGACUGGACAAGCAUUGACGCUGAGG